rnacentral:rRNA from 1 species
UGGGGAAUAUUGCACAAUGGGGGAAACCCUGAUGCAGCGACGCCGCGUGAACGAAGAAGGUAUUCGUAUCGUAAAGCUCUGUCCUAUGGGAAGAUAAUGACAGUACCAUAGAAGAAAGCUCCGGCUAAAUACGUGCCAGCAGCCGCGGUAAUACGUAUGGAGCGAGCGUUGUCCGGAAUUAUUGGGCGUAAAGGGUACGCAGGCGGUUUAAUAAGUCGAAUGUUAAAGAUCGGGGCUCAACCCCGCAAAGCAUUGGAAACUGGUAAACUUGAGUAGUGGAGAGGAAAGUGGAAUUCCUAGUGUAGUGGUGAAAUACGUAGAUAUUAGGAGGAAUACCAGUAGCGAAGGCGACUUUCUGGACACAAACUGACGCUGAGGUACGAAAGCGUGGGGAGCAAACAGG